GGCGAGCGGGCUGUGCCUGCGCGCCCCCGCCUGGGGCUAUAAAAGCCUCGCCACCUGCUGCCUCUAGUGCGUCCAGUUGCCGGAGAAGCCAAUUCACCUCUUCCAGCGGCGACUCCUCUCGACAUGGACCCUGAGACCUGCCCCUGCCCGACUGGUGGUUCCUGCACCUGCUCUGGCUCCUGCAAGUGCGAGGGAUGCAAAUGCACCUCCUGCAAGAAGAGCUGCUGCUCCUGCUGCCCAGCGGAGUGUGAGAAAUGCGCCAAGGAUUGCGUGUGCAAAGGUGGAGAGGGGGCCGAGGCGGAGGCGGAGAAGUGCAGCUGCUGCCAAUGAGGACGUGCUCUCCGUGUGACGUGUGUAAAUAGUGCUGAGUGGCCCCGGGCAACCUCUCCCCGGGGUGAGGCUUGGCUGUGUGUCCCCUUCCCCUGCUAGCAGCUGGCAAGUGACAAUAAAUCCUAUGAAUGGCA